GAUGAACGCUGGCGGCGUGCCUAACACAUGCAAGUCGAGCGAAGCACUUUGCUUAGAUUCUUCGGAUGAAGAGGAUUGUGACUGAGCGGCGGACGGGUGAGUAACGCGUGGGUAACCUGCCUCAUACAGGGGGAUAACAGUUAGAAAUGACUGCUAAUACCGCAUAAGACCACAGCACCGCAUGGUGCGGGGGUAAAAACUCCGGUGGUAUGAGAUGGACCCGCGUCUGAUUAGCUAGUUGGUAAGGUAACGGCUUACCAAGGCGACGAUCAGUAGCCGACCUGAGAGGGUGACCGGCCACAUUGGGACUGAGACACGGCCCAAACUCCUACGGGAGGCAGCAGUGGGGAAUAUUGCACAAUGGGGGAAACCCUGAUGCAGCGACGCCGCGUGAGCGAAGAAGUAUUUCGGUAUGUAAAGCUCUAUCAGCAGGGAAGAAAAUGACGGUACCUGACUAAGAAGCACCGGCUAAAUACGUGCCAGCAGCCGCGGUAAUACGUAUGGUGCAAGCGUUAUCCGGAUUUACUGGGUGUAAAGGGAGCGUAGACGGAUGGGCAAGUCUGAUGUGAAAACCCGGGGCUCAACCCCGGGACUGCAUUGGAAACUGUUCAUCUAGAGUGCUGGAGAGGUAAGUGGAAUUCCUAGUGUAGCGGUGAAAUGCGUAGAUAUUAGGAGGAACACCAGUGGCGAAGGCGGCUUACUGGACAGUAACUGACGUUGAGGCUCGAAAGCGUGGGGAGCAAACAGGAUUAGAUACCCUGGUAGUCCACGCCGUAAACGAUGACUACUAGGUGUCGGGUGGCAAAGCCAUUCGGUGCCGCAGCAAACGCAAUAAGUAGUCCACCUGGGGAGUACGUUCGCAAGAAUGGAACUCAAAGGAAUUGACGGGGACCCGCAUAAGCGGUGGAGCAUGUGGUUUAAUUCGAAGCAACGCGAAGAACCUUACCUGCUCUUGACAUCCCGCUGACCGGACGGUAAUGCGUCCUUCCCUUCGGGGCAGCGGAGACAGGUGGUGCAUGGUUGUCGUCAGCUCGUGUCGUGAGAUGUUGGGUUAAGUCCCGCAACGAGCGCAACCCCUAUCUUUAGUAGCCAGCGGCCAGGCCGGGCACUCUAGAGAGACUGCCGGGGAUAACCCGGAGGAAGGUGGGGAUGACGUCAAAUCAUCAUGCCCCUUAUGAGCAGGGCUACACACGUGCUACAAUGGCGUAAACAAAGGGAAGCGAGACCGCGAGGUGGAGCAAAUCCCAAAAAUAACGUCUCAGUUCGGAUUGUAGUCUGCAACUCGACUACAUGAAGCUGGAAUCGCUAGUAAUCGCGAAUCAGAAUGUCGCGGUGAAUACGUUCCCGGGUCU
rnacentral:rRNA from 1 species